rnacentral:rRNA from 1 species
AGAGUUUGAUCCUGGCUCAGGACGAACGCUGGCGGCGUGCUUAACACAUGCAAGUCGAACGGAGAUGUUAGCAAUAGCAUCUUAGUGGCGGACGGGUGAGUAACGCGUGGGCAACUUGCCUCUAACUGGGGGAUAACACAGGGAAACUUGUGCUAAUACCGCAUAACAUCGAGAGAGGACAUCCUCUUUCGAUCAAAGGA